UACGGGGGGGGGCAAGCGUUGUUCGGAAUUACUGGGCGUAAAGGGCGCGUAGGCGGUCUGCUAAGUUGGAUGUGAAAACUCUGGGCUUAACCCAGAGCCUGCAUUCAAUACUGACAGGCUAGAGUUCUGGAGGGGAUAGCGGAAUUCCUGGUGUAGCGGUGAAAUGCGUAGAUAUCUGGAGGAACACCGGUGGCGAAGGCGGCAUCCUGGACCGACACUGACGCUGAGGAGCGAAAGCCAGGGGAGCAAACGGG
rnacentral:rRNA from 1 species